UACGUAGGGGGCUAGCGUUGUCCGGAAUCAUUGGGCGUAAAGAGCGUGUAGGCGGUCCGGUAAGUCCGCUGUGAAAGUCGGGGGCUCAACCCUCGAAUGCCGGUGGAUACUGUCGGGCUAGAGUACGGAAGAGGCGAGUGGAAUUCCUGGUGUAGCGGUGAAAUGCGCAGAUAUCAGGAGGAACACCGGUGGCGAAGGCGGAUCUCUGGGCCUUACCUGACGCUGAGGCGCGAAAGCUAGGGGAGCGAACAGG
rnacentral:rRNA from 1 species